rnacentral:lncRNA from 1 species
UUGGAAUUAUUCUUUAACUUACUUAUUUCUGAUAUGAUCUUGGAAAGGCCAAAAGUAGUCCUGAAGGAACAAUCUUUCAAAAACCAGGAAUCCCGCAGAAUUGCACAUUCCUAGAAGAUAAUUACCCUUCAUACUACUCACGGCAUACAUAUAGAGGACGAAGCAACACGCACACUUCAUGUCGCGUGUGUGCACAUAGUAAGAAGAUCAAGCGUGCGCAUACAUGCAUGUAGCAGUGCACACAAGGCAUAACUAGAGAAAUUCUUGUAAGUGAGGGAUUUCUCCUGCAGGAAGGAGUCCUCUCCAAUCAAGGACUCUCGCAAGGCCAGCUCAAAAUAGGCAAGCAGCUCCAGAUACUUUUUUUUCUUAAACUGGAUUAUCUUAAAGAAGAAAGCAUCUCCACUCCAAAAUUGUUUCAUAAACGGAAUCCUCUCUAAGAAAGAACUAAAAAGGUCCAUGGGUAUAAGCUUGAGGCAAACAACCAAGCUUGCAGGCUUGGGGUCAUUCACAGCAUGAAAAAGGACCUCAAUUUGGCCCAAGGGAAGGUGAGAUCCAAUCCAAAUGGCAAGUAUACCCUACGACAUACACCACACACAUAGGCAUAUGCCACCCGCACAUGUGGUCGAGUGGAUAAGGCUAGGGAAA